rnacentral:rRNA from 1 species
UACGUAGGGUGCAAGCGUUGUUCGGAUUCAUUGGGCGUAAAGGGCUCGUAGGCGGCCAACUAAGUCAGACGUGAAAUCCCUCGGCUUAACCGGGGAACUGCGUCUGAUACUGGAUGGCUUGAGUUUGGGAGAGGGAUGCGGAAUUCCAGGUGUAGCGGUGAAAUGCGUAGAUAUCUGGAGGAACACCGGUGGCGAAGGCGGCAUCCUGGACCAACACUGACGCUGAGGAGCGAAAGCCAGGGGAGCAAACGGG